UGAGUGGCGGACGGGUGAGUAACGCGUGGGUAACCUGCCUCAUACAGGGGGAUAACAGUUAGAAAUGACUGCUAAUACCGCAUAAGCGCACAAAACCGCAUGGUUUGGUGUGAAAAACUGAGGUGGUAUGAGAUGGACCCGCGUCUGAUUAGCUAGUUGGAGAGGUAACGGCUCACCAAGGCAACGAUCAGUAGCCGACCUGAGAGGGUGACCGGCCACAUUGGGACUGAGACACGGCCCAAACUCCUACGGGAGGCAGCAGUGGGGAAUAUUGCACAAUGGGGGAAACCCUGAUGCAGCAACGCCGCGUGGGUGAAGAAGUAUUUCGGUAUGUAAAGCCCUAUCAGCAGGGAAGAAGAGAGACGGUACCUGACUAAGAAGCCCCGGCUAACUACGUGCCAGCAGCCGCGGUAAUACGUAGGGGGCAAGCGUUAUCCGGAUUUACUGGGUGUAAAGGGAGCGUAGACGGCUUGAUAAGUCUGAAGUGAAAGGCCAAGGCUUAACCAUGGAACUGCUUUGGAAACUAUGAGGCUAGAGUGCUGGAGAGGUAAGCGGAAUUCCUAGUGUAGCGGUGAAAUGCGUAGAUAUUAGGAGGAACACCAGUGGCGAAGGCGGCUUACUGGACAGAAACUGACGUUGAGGCUCGAAAGCGUGGGGAGCAAACAGGAUUAGAUACCCUGGUAGUCCACGCGGUAAACGAUGAAUGCUAGGUGUUGGUGGGCAAAGCCCAUCGGUGCCGUC
rnacentral:rRNA from 1 species